GGGCGCUGCAUGGGCCGGGCCGAGCGGGGUCAGAGCAGGACAGCGGAGCGCCGCGGGAGCGCAGGUCCUGGCCUCUGCAGCGCUGCGAGUCCCGGAUGGACGGAGCUGCUGCUGCGACCGGGCCCACGAACACGCCUCAUCCAGGGUGCGGAGGAUGGGGAAAGCCGUGCGCCUCCAGCCCCUCACCGCACAUUCCCAACAGUGAGGAGGUGAUGCCAUCGCCAGGAUCUGGGAAAAACAGCAGCGUGUUUGGACAGUGAGGAGAGGAGACACCCACGCACCAGAGCUCAGCACAAGCCCAAGUCCCCAGCUCGCCAUAAGGUCUGAACAUCCAGGGAAGCGAUGAUCCCAGGGAGCACAGCAGCUGUUGGAGACGGUGUCAGCUCUCUCCUGCUUCCCCGAGGAGCUGCAGUCGGGGACAGCCCAGGAUGGAUCUCUAUGGGGUCCUGCAUGGGAACUUCAGCUCCUGGGGUGGUAAAGGCAGCUGAGUUCCCUCUGCACCCCCCAAAACCGGCUGGUCAGGGUCAGGGUAGAGGCAAGGGACGGGCGGGGGGACCUUGCCAUGAUCUGUUGAGCUCUGGAAGAGCCAAAUGCUGGGAUGCAGCCGGUGUUUUCCCCACCAACCUUUACCAAGCCCAGGACACAGGGAGAGCCCUGGGCUGAUGCUGCCUGUAUAUCCCUUUGGCUUUCAAUCCACAGGGUUGCUGAAGAGGCUGUAGGGGAUACAUUUCCAGGAUACAGGGGUAGAAGUUGUCCAUGGGAAGUGUCCAGGAGAGCACAGGCGGGGGAGCUGCUGGAGUCAGCUCUGGGGAGAGAAUGGGCAGCAUGAGGUGCCCUCAUGCUCCUCACCAUCCUGUCUCCUGCUGAGGGGGUUGCUCCACAUCCUACCUCUCUCCGUGCCUCUCUGCCUUUCCUGCUGCUGGGAUCUCUUCUAGCUGCUGGAGAUUGCCCUGGGCAUGGGGAAUCUCCCUUCCCCUACAACUGUGCAGUUGUGUGCAACCCACAGCAGCAGGUGCAAUGGGUGGAGCAGCACUGGCAGAGCCCUGAUACCGUCACAGACCCUUCCCCAGGGCCUUCUAUCCUGAUCCUCGUGGGAAUUCCCAGCCACCCACCAAUUCCCCUUCUUAUUUACAUACAGCUGCCGCUCACAAAAGGGCUCCCUGGGAUGGAAACCUCCGGCAGCAUUUCGGAGUGGGAAAGCAUGUGCAAACCUGCCACAAGGGGCUGCCUGCGAGGCAAACGCCUGUUCCUCCAAGGCUCCUUCACUCCCUGGAUCACCACCCGGAUCAUCCGCAGCACCUUGGCCGCGGGAGCCCUGGGAUGUUGCUGACUGUCUUCCCGUUCCCUGAGGAGUAAACCUGUUCCAGGGCUCCUGCCUGGCCCCGGCAGCAGGGACUGGGGCACAUUUGAAGCCAGGGCCCAGCCUGAACAUCAGGAUGGCACAUGGUGGAUCGGGAGGCACAGCUCUGUGGAUCCAUGGCUCAUGUGCCUGCUGGGUCCCCUCCACCCUCCUGUUUGGGGCUGUGUCCCCUCUGUGGGAUGAAAGCUCUCACGAGGAGCAGGAGGCACUGCAAGAGCUUGGCAGAGAGCCCUGUUCUGAAGCUGAGGAGCAAGGGUAGACACCAGGGCUCAGCAAUUCAGCACAAGAUGCCCCAAGGCCACCGAAUCUUUCAAGUAAUCUUGCACAGCCAGCCAAGGAAGGGCUUGCCUUGGAACCCAGGAGAAGUUUGGGAACACAGGAACCUGGGCAGGUGGAGGUGGUUCAUGCCUCACUCUGCCUCUGGGUGGAGAAGCAAAAAGCCACCUUUGGCCACCCCUGUGCACAUCCCGGGGUGGGACUGAGCUCACACUGAGGCUGCAGGAACUCAAACCAAGCCUUCCCUGAGGAUGUGGGCUGCCAGGGUCUGUCUGGGAGAUCAGAAGCAGAAAGAGCCCCAGAAUUCAGGAGAA